rnacentral:rRNA from 1 species
AAACCGUGUACGUACAAGCAGUGGGAGCCCCACCACCAAAGCGUUUCGCUUUGUGUGGUGCACAAAGAAGCGUAACGACAGCACUGAAUGACGGUUAACGGAGCGCAAGCGACGUUCAACAUACAAAGUCAAGCAGUGGAGCGCUUUGGGGUGGGGUGACUGCGUACCUUUUGUAUAAUGGGUCAGCGACUUAUAUUCUGUAGCAAGGUUAACCGAAUAGGGGAGCCGGAGGGAAACCGAGUCUUAAUUGGGCGUUAAGUUGCAGGGUAUAGACCCGAAACCCGGUGAUCUAGCCAUGGGCAGGUUGAAGGUUGGGUAACACUAACUGGAGGACCGAACCGACUAAUGUUGAAAAAUUAGCGGAUGACCUGUGGCUGGGGGUGAAAGGCCAAUCAAACCGGGAGAUAGCUGGUUCUCCCCGAAAGCUAUUUAGGUAGCGCCUCGUGAAUUCAUCUCCGGGGGUAGAGCACUGUUUCGGCUAGGGGGCCAUCCCGGCUUACCAACCCGAUGCAAACUGCGAAUACCGGAGAAUGUUAUCACGGGAGACACACGGCGGGUGCUAACGUCCGUCGUGAAGAGGGAAACAACCCAGACCGCCAGCUAAGGUCCCAAAGUCAUGGUUAAGUGGGAAACGAUGUGGGAAGGCCCAGACAGCCAGGAUGUUGGCUUAGAAGCAGCCAUCAUUUAAAGAAAGCGUAAUAGCUCACUGGUCGAGUCGGCCUGCGCGGAAGAUGUAACGGGGCUAAACCAUGCACCGAAGCUGCGGCAGCGACGCUUAUGCGUUGUUGGGUAGGGGAGCGUUCUGUAAGCCUGUGAAGGUGGCCUGUGAGGGUUGCUGGAGGUAUCAGAAGUGCGAAUGCUGACAUAAGUAACGAUAAAGCGGGUGAAAAGCCCGCUCGCCGGAAGACCAAGGGUUCCUGUCCAACGUUAAUCGGGGCAGGGUGAGUCGACCCCUAAGGCGAGGCCGAAAGGCGUAGUCGAUGGGAAACGGGUUAAUAUUCCCGUACUUGGUGUUACUGCGAAGGGGGGACGGAGAAGGCUAUGUUGGCCGGGCGACGGUUGUCCCGGUUUAAGCGUGUAGGUGUGUGUUCCAGGUAAAUCCGGUUCACUUUAACACUGAGGCGUGAUGACGAGGCACUACGGUGCUGAAGCAACAAAUGCCCUGCUUCCAGGAAAAGCCUCUAAGCAUCAGGUAACAUCAAAUCGUACCCCAAACCGACACAGGUGGUCAGGUAGAGAAUACCAAGGCGCUUGAGAGAACUCGGGUGAAGGAACUAGGCAAAAUGGUGCCGUAACUUCGGGAGAAGGCACGCUGACACGUAGGUGAAGUGAUUUACUCAUGGAGCUGAAGUCAGUCGAAGAUACCAGCUGGCUGCAACUGUUUAUUAAAAACACAGCACUGUGCAAACACGAAAGUGGACGUAUACGGUGUGACGCCUGCCCGGUGCCGGAAGGUUAAUUGAUGGGGUCAGCGCAAGCGAAGCUCCUGAUCGAAGCCCCGGUAAACGGCGGCCGUAACUAUAACGGUCCUAAGGUAGCGAAAUUCCUUGUCGGGUAAGUUCCGACCUGCACGAAUGGCGUAAUGAUGGCCAGGCUGUCUCCACCCGAGACUCAGUGAAAUUGAACUCGCUGUGAAGAUGCAGUGUACCCGCGGCAAGACGGAAAGACCCCGUGAACCUUUACUAUAGCUUGACACUGAACAUUGAGCCUUGAUGUGUAGGAUAGGUGGGAGGCUUUGAAGCGUGGACGCCAGUCUGCGUGGAGCCGACCUUGAAAUACCACCCUUUAAUGUUUGAUGUUCUAACGUGGACCCGUAAUCCGGGUUGCGGACAGUGUCUGGUGGGUAGUUUGACUGGGGCGGUCUCCUCCUAAAGAGUAACGGAGGAGCACGAAGGUUGGCUAAUCCUGGUCGGACAUCAGGAGGUUAGUGCAAUGGCAUAAGCCAGCUUGACUGCGAGCGUGACGGCGCGAGCAGGUGCGAAAGCAGGUCAUAGUGAUCCGGUGGUUCUGAAUGGAAGGGCCAUCGCUCAACGGAUAAAAGGUACUCCGGGGAUAACAGGCUGAUACCGCCCAAGAGUUCAUAUCGACGGCGGUGUUUGGCACCUCGAUGUCGGCUCAUCACAUCCUGGGGCUGAAGUAGGUCCCAAGGGUAUGGCUGUUCGCCAUUUAAAGUGGUACGCGAGCUGGGUUUAGAACGUCGUGAGACAGUUCGGUCCCUAUCUGCCGUGGGCGCUGGAGAACUGAGGGGGGCUGCUCCUAGUACGAGAGGACCGGAGUGGACGCAUCACUGGUGUUCGGGUUGUCAUGCCAAUGGCACUGCCCGGUAGCUAAAUGCGGAAGAGAUAAGUGCUGAAAGCAUCUAAGCACGAAACUUGCCCCGAGAUGAGUUCUCCCUGAGACUUAGAGUCUCCUGAAGGAACGUUGAAGACGACGACGUUGAUAGGCCGGGUGUGUAAGCGCAGCGAUGCGUUGAGCUAACCGGUACUAAUGAACCGUGAGGCUUAACCUU